GCUCAAUUUCCCUCAGGCCUGGGCUGCAAUCCAUGGCUGCCCCAGAGCACCCCGCUUCGGCCUUGGACCCUUCCUGCUGCAGUCCCUUUUGGAUACCGACUCGGGUUAUCUCCUAAGGAAAGGGGAUUAGUGUUGGAGGGGAGGACUCGAAAGAAACAUCCUCCAUUGAUAAAAAUCAGCAAUUCAUUGGUUACACUGGCAUAGAAGUUACCAGAUGUACUGAGAGAAAGGCCUGGAAAGAUUUACAUGAACUGAUGCUGAGUGAAACAAGCAUAACCAGGAAUACAUGGUACAAAAUAACAGCAAGAAUAUGAGAUGAUCAACUAUGAAAGAUAAGGAAACUGAGGCAAACACAAGUAAGUGACUUGCCCAAGAUCACAUAGCUAAGAAGAGUUUGAGGUUGGAUUUGAAUUCGUCUUCCUGCCUUCAAGCCUGACUUGUUUUACAAAAGAGGAAAUCUAGAGUUAAAAUCCUGGCUGUGUUAUUUACUAACUGCAUAACUCUAAUGAAGAGACUGAGCAUCAUGGAUUGUCAUGAGACCAUACCUUAAACCUCUCCCCCAGACAACCCAAGCUGAAGGAACAGUCCUUUGGAAGCUGUGGUCUUCUUCAUGCUCCAAUCCGACAUCAGAGGAAGAUUCUGUGGAGAACAAGCUGGACUAUAUCUGG
rnacentral:lncRNA from 1 species